CCUAGGAGGAAGAUUAAGGAAGAUGAUUGUUAGCUUAAUGGAGUGGAUCUGGCUUUAUGAAAACAAUUCUUUUUUUUUUAUUGUGAUUUAUUUUGAACAGAAAUGGGGUCUUGCUGUGUUUCCCAGGCUAGUCUUGAACUCCUGGCCUCGAGCCAUCCUCUCUCCCACCUCAGCCUCCUAAAGUGCUGGGAUUACAGUUGUAAGCAGCAUGCCCAGCUAAUAAUUCAUUUUUUAAAGGAAGAAAAAGAUGUAGAAAGAUUCAGGUAAUAUAUAUACUUUAGACAAGAAGGUAACUAAGGCACUUUUCUAAACCCACUCUGUCAAAAAAUGAGGAGCCCUGGUCUUCCCCAAAUGCUCACCAGUAAAAUAGGGAUAAUGAUGCUUACAUGAUAAUUUUCAUGUAGAGGUUAGUUAUAAAGUAUAUAAAGUACCUAUAUAGGGCCUGGCAUAUAUGAGGUACUUAAUAAAUAAUAAUUAGUAUUAAAAUUAUUAGUAUUAAUAUUAUUAUAUAUAUGUAUAUAUAAUAAUAAUAUAUACAUAUAUAAUAAUAUAUAUGAGUUAUACUCUAAAAUUAUUAUUAUAUAUGUGUGUGUAUAUAUAUAUAUAUAUGAGUUAUACUCUAAAAUAUAUAUAUAUAUAUUUUGAGACGGAGUCUCGCUCUGUUGCCCAGGCUGGAGUGCAGUAGUGCAAUCUCAGCUCACUGCAACCUCCAACUCCCAGGUUCAAGCAAUUCUCUGCCUCAGCCUCCUGAGUAGCUGGGACUACAGGCACCCACCACCACGCCUGGCUAAUUUUUUUGUAUUUUUACUAGAGAUGGAGUUUCACCAUCUUGGCCAGGCUGGUCUUGAACUCCGACCUCGUGAUCCACCCACCUCGGCCUCCCAAAGUUCUGGGAUUACAGGCAAGAGCCACCAAGCCCAGCCAACUCAUAUAUAUUUUUUAACUUUUAUUUUAGGCUCAGGGAUACAUGGGAAGGUUUGUUAUAUUGGUAAACUCGUGUCACAGGGGUUUGUUGACGGAUUAUUUCAUCACCCAGGUAUUAAGCCUAAUACCCAAUUAAUAAUAUGAUCAAUGACUAUUUUAGGUAUAUAACUAUGGCUGUAAGGCAUUGGUGGCUCCUUGUCAUAGAGGCCUAGUCACUGUCUCGCUGCAUGCCAAGGAAGGUACUUACUUGGGAAAUUACUAUAGAAUCUGAAGAUAAGGUGAACAAUGGAUUCUAGAAUUACCAUUUAGAUAUGAAGAUUCAAUAAUGAGGUGUGAAUCCAUGGGAAGUUUCAUCCAUAAAAACAACCUAACUCUUUUCAUAGCUAUUAUGGCUAUAAAUAGCUGUUUCAUGAAUCACUGUAACAUUUGAAUCCAUCCUAAGGACUGCAGCCAGAGGAAAUAACAGGUCUGCUAACGAAUCUAUGACUAUUCGCAUGUUCAAGUAUUUAACAAAGGAGCCAUAAUCUAGGCCAGCCCUUCAGUCCUUAGAGUCAGCUUUGCUUCAGCAAAGAUUUAUUGGGGUCUCGGUGUUCCAGACACUGAGUUAGGUACUGUGGACAAAAGAUGAACAAAAAAUGGUGCCUGCCCUCUAGCAGCUCCUGCCUACGCACCACCAGCAUUUCUGAAUAGUCCCAGGAAAAUGCUGGGUAACUCCAAGGAAAAAUGAAAUACACCAACAGGCUAAAUGAAUCUCUUGCAAAACAUAUUGCCUUCCCUAAUUAAUCAUUUAUCUCUACUCUCUCACGUUCCGCAAAACCAACUCAUUCUGUUGGGGUCCUCGGACUGAGAAGUGAUCCAAGCCAGAAGCUGCCGAACGAGUCUAUUUGACAAUUUCUGGGAGGGCAGCAUCCCCCUCUCAUACUGGUCUCUGGUCUGGGUGCAGAUCAGAAUUCACCAUCAAUGUGCAAAGCUGAUUGAUAAAAUAGUUGAAAGCAAGGAAGAAACCAACCCUCUCCCCAUUAGAAACAAAUACAAAGAGGCAGCAAAUUAUUCUGAAUGUCUUUGUUUUGGUGUAACUAUGUCUGCUUAGCACUGGGUUUAAUCAUGUUGAUGUCCAGAAUUUGUAAAAUUUCGAUACUUUUUUCUCUUCAUUUAAAAUUCCUGGGUAAUUUAUGUUAAGUAGAGUGUAUUAUAUCCUCAGAAUCUAAUAUCACGUUGCAUAUUAGAUAUAAAAUCAGAGGGGUAAAAAAGGAAGAAGCAGCAAAAGCACUAUGAAAUGAACUCUUACAAUAGUUGGCAUUAUGUGUUGCUAAGUGUUUAACAUCAUAAGUGAACCUUUUAAAAAAAGAUGUAUUGCAUCUAAUGUGUUCAAUUUUAAAUUCAUUUAAAUAUCUAAAGUGUAAUUGUUUUGUUUUGCUUGUUUGUUUUUUGAGACAGGGUCUUGCUCUGUUGCCCAGGCCAGAGUACAGUGUUGUGAUCAUAGCUCACUGCAGCCUUGAUCUCCCAGGCUCAAGGAAUUCUCCCACUUCAACCUCUUGAGUAGCUGGGACUACAGCACACCACCAUGCUGGGCUGAUUUUUGUAUUUUUUGUAGAGGCAGGUUUUCGCCAGGUUGCCCAGGCUGGUCUCAAACUCCUGGGCUCAAGCAAUCCGCCCACCUUGGCCUCCCAAAGUGUUGAGAUUACAGGCAUGAGCCACCACACCCAGCCUUGUUCUGUUUUGUUUUUUAGAGAUGGGGUCUCCCUAUGCUGUCCAGGCUGGCAGUGGCUAUUUACAGGCCUGGUCAUUGUAUCCUACAACUUCAAACUCAAGCUGUAGUUGAACUCAAGUUGAACUCAAGCUCAAGGGAUCCUCCCUCCUCAGCCUCCUGAGUAGCUAGGACUACAGGCCUGCCACUGCCUUGGCUUAUUUAAAGUAUAAUGUUUUCUUGUUUUUUUUUUCAGUUUGUAAAGAUAGGGUCUCACUGUGUUGGCCAGGUUGGUCUUGAAAUCCUGGCUUCAAGCAAUCUUCCCACCUCAGCCUCCGAAAGUGCUAGGAUUACAGGUGUAAGCCACCACAUCCAGCCAAAAAGUAAAAUUUUUUAAAAAAAUCUCCUCCAUUGGAUGUCUGUGUGCCGUAUGUGUCUAUGGCAGCUCCAGAGGCCAUUGCCCGCCCUGCACACCCGACUGAG
rnacentral:lncRNA from 1 species